rnacentral:rRNA from 1 species
UACGUAGGUGGCAAGCGUUGUCCGGAUUUACUGGGCGUAAAGAGCGCGCAGGCGGUCGUUCAAGUCGCGUGUGAAAGCCCCCCGGCUCAACUGGGGAGGGUCACGCGAUACUGAUCGACUCGAAGGCAGGAGAGGGAAGUGGAAGUUCCCGGUGUAGUGGUGAAAUGCGUAGAUAUCGGGAGGAACACCAGUGGCGAAGGCGGGGUCUCUGGGCAAGCAACUGACGCUGAGGAGCGAAAGCGUGGGGAGCGAACAGG